AGACCCGAAACCCGGUGAUCUAGCCAUGGGCAGGUUGAAGGUUGGGUAACACUAACUGGAGGACCGAACCGACUAAUGUUGAAAAAUUAGCGGAUGACCUGUGGCUGGGGGUGAAAGGCCAAUCAAACCGGGAGAUAGCUGGUUCUCCCCGAAAGCUAUUUAGGUAGCGCCUCGUGAAUUCAUCUCCGGGGGUAGAGCACUGUUUCGGCUAGGGGGCCAUCCCGGCUUACCAACCCGAUGCAAACUGCGAAUACCGGAGAAUGUUAUCACGGGAGACACACGGCGGGUGCUAACGUCCGUCGUGAAGAGGGAAACAACCCAGACCGCCAGCUAAGGUCCCAAAGUCAUGGUUAAGUGGGAAACGAUGUGGGAAGGCCCAGACAGCCAGGAUGUUGGCUUAGAAGCAGCCAUCAUUUAAAGAAAGCGUAAUAGCUCACUGGUCGAGUCGGCCUGCGCGGAAGAUGUAACGGGGCUAAACCAUGCACCGAAGCUGCGGCAGCGACACUGUGUGUUGUUGGGUAGGGGAGCGUUCUGUAAGCCUGUGAAGGUGUGCUGUGAGGCAUGCUGGAGGUAUCAGAAGUGCGAAUGCUGACAUAAGUAACGAUAAAGCGGGUGAAAAGCCCGCUCGCCGGAAGACCAAGGGUUCCUGUCCAACGUUAAUCGGGGCAGGGUGAGUCGACCCCUAAGGCGAGGCCGAAAGGCGUAGUCGAUGGGAAACGGGUUAAUAUUCCCGUACUUGGUGUUACUGCGAAGGGGGGACGGAGAAGGCUAUGUUGGCCGGGCGACGGUUGUCCCGGUUUAAGCGUGUAGGUGUGUGUUCCAGGUAAAUCCGGUUCACUUUAACACUGAGGCGUGACGACGAGGCACUACGGUGCUGAAGCAACAAAUGCCCUGCUUCCAGGAAAAGCCUCUAAGCAUCAGGUAACACGAAAUCGUACCCCAAACCGACACAGGUGGUCAGGUAGAGAAUACCAAGGCGCUUGAGAGAACUCGGGUGAAGGAACUAGGCAAAAUGGUGCCGUAACUUCGGGAGAAGGCACGCUGACACGUAGGUGAAGUGAUUUACUCACGGAGCUGAAGUCAGUCGAAGAUACCAGCUGGCUGCAACUGUUUAUUAAAAACACAGCACUGUGCAAACACGAAAGUGGACGUAUACGGUGUGACGCCUGCCCGGUGCCGGAAGGUUAAUUGAUGGGGUCAGCGCAAGCGAAGCUCCUGAUCGAAGCCCCGGUAAACGGCGGCCGUAACUAUAACGGUCCUAAGGUAGCGAAAUUCCUUGUCGGGUAAGUUCCGACCUGCACGAAUGGCGUAAUGAUGGCCAGGCUGUCUCCACCCGAGACUCAGUGAAAUUGAACUCGCUGUGAAGAUGCAGUGUACCCGCGGCAAGACGGAAAGACCCCGUGAACCUUUACUAUAGCUUGACACUGAACAUUGAGCCUUGAUGUGUAGGAUAGGUGGGAGGCUUUGAAGCGUGGACGCCAGUCUGCGUGGAGCCAACCUUGAAAUACCACCCUUUAAUGUUUGAUGUUCUAACGUGGACCCGUAAUCCGGGUUGCGGACAGUGUCUGGUGGGUAGUUUGACUGGGGCGGUCUCCUCCUAAAGAGUAACGGAGGAGCACGAAGGUUGGCUAAUCCUGGUCGGACAUCAGGAGGUUAGUGCAAUGGCAUAAGCCAGCUUGACUGCGAGCGUGACGGCGCGAGCAGGUGCGAAAGCAGGUCAUAGUGAUCCGGUGGUUCUGAAUGGAAGGGCCAUCGCUCAACGGAUAAAAGGUACUCCGGGGAUAACAGGCUGAUACCGCCCAAGAGUUCAUAUCGACGGCGGUGUUUGGCACCUCGAUGUCGGCUCAUCACAUCCUGGGGCUGAAGUAGGUCCCAAGGGUAUGGCUGUUCGCCAUUUAAAGUGGUACGCGAGCUGGGUUUAGAACGUCGUGAGACAGUUCGGUCCCUAUCUGCCGUGGGCGCUGGAGAACUGAGGGGGGCUGCUCCUAGUACGAGAGGACCGGAGUGGACGCAUCACUGGUGUUCGGGUUGUCAUGCCAAUGGCACUGCCCGGUAGCUAAAUGCGGAAGAGAUAAGUGCUGAAAGCAUCUAAGCACGAAACUUGCCCCGAGAUGAGUUCUCCCUGAGACUUAAAGUCUCCUGAAGGAACGUUGAAGACGACGACGUUGAUAGGCCGGGUGUGUAAGCGCAGCGAUGCGUUGAGCUAACCGGUACUAAUGAACCGUGAGGCUUAACCUU
rnacentral:rRNA from 1 species